UACGUAGGCAGCAAGCGUUGUUCGGAGUUACUGGGCGUAAAGGGCGUGUAGGCGGCCUGUUAAGUUCCGUGUGAAAUCUCCCGGCUCAACCGGGAGGGUGCGCGGAAAACUGGCGGGCUAGAGUGCGGGAUGGGAGAGUAGAAUUCCUGGUGUAGCGGUGAAAUGCGUAGAUAUCAGGAGGAAUACCGGUGGUGAAGACGGCUCUCUGGACCGCAACUGACGCUGAAACACGAAAGCGUGGGUAGCAAACAGG
rnacentral:rRNA from 1 species